rnacentral:rRNA from 1 species
GACGAACGCUGGCGGCGUGCUUAACACAUGCAAGUCGAACGGAAAGGCCUGCUUUCCCUUGUGGAUUGCGGGUACUCGAGUGGCGAACGGGUGAGUAACACGUGAGUGAUCUGCCCCCAACUUGGGUAUAAGCCUGGGAAACUGGGUCUAAUUCCCGAUAGGACUGCAGGGUGGUGCCUGUGGUGGAAAACGAUUUUCUAGUGGUUGGGGAUGAGCUCGCGGCCUAUCAGCUUGUUGGUGGGGUAAUGGCCUACCAAGGCGGCGACGGGUAGCCGGCCUGAGAGGGUGGACGGCCACAUUGGGACUGGGAUACGGCCCAGACUCCUACGGGAGGCAGCAGUGGGGAAUAUUGCACAAUGGGGGGAAGCCUGAUGCAGCGACGCCGCGUGGGGGAUGACGGCCUUCGGGUUGUAAACUCCUUUCGACCGCGAGGAAGCCACCUGGUUGGAAGGGUGGUGACGGUAGUGGUAGAAGAAGCACCGGCUAACUACGUG